CUGAAACGCUAAAAGCUAUUUAUUACAAUUUAAAAGACGUUUAUUUAAAGGGGUGCACAACAACUGAAGAAUGGCUGGAUGUGGCUACAGAAUUUAAUAAUAAAUGGAAUUUCCCUAUGUGCCUUGGAGCGAUAGACGGUAAGCACAUUGCAAUAAGGGCAAAGAAGUCUG